AUUGAACGCUGGCGGCAUGCUUUACACAUGCAAGUCGAACGGUAACAGGCCUUCGGGUGCUGACGAGUGGCGCACGGGUGAGUAAUGCAUCGGAACGUGCCCAGAGGUGGGGGAUAACGCAGCGAAAGCUGUGCUAAUACCGCAUGUGAUCUGAGGAUGAAAGCGGAGGACCAGGCAGCAAUGUUUGGCCUCGCGCCUUUGGAGCGGCCGAUGUCAGAUUAGGUAGUUGGUGGGGUAAAGGCCUACCAAGCCGACGAUCUGUAGCUGGUCUGAGAGGACGACCAGCCACACUGGGACUGAGACACGGCCCAGACUCCUACGGGAGGCAGCAGUGGGGAAUUUUGGACAAUGGGCGCAAGCCUGAUCCAGCAAUGCCGCGUGCGGGAAGAAGGCCUUCGGGUUGUAAACCGCUUUUGUACGGAACGAAAAGGCUCUGGCUAAUACCUGGGGCUGAUGACGGUACCGUAAGAAUAAGCACCGGCUAACUACGUG
rnacentral:rRNA from 1 species